rnacentral:lncRNA from 1 species
AAAAGGGAUAGAAUAGUCCUUUUCAAUUAAUAUAAGGGGUAAAAUAGGAAAGAAUCAAAAGAUAAUGGCAUAGUUGUAGAUGCAUUGAAGUGGUAAGGGUAAAAUUGGAAGGAAUCAAAAGUUAAUGGCAUAAUUGCAGAUAUAUCGAAGUGGCAAGGGCAAAAUGGGAAAUUAAUAAUAUUAAAAAAGGGUGAAUAGUGUUUUGAUGUGAUUUAAUUGGAGGGUUUG